rnacentral:rRNA from 1 species
ACAUGCUUACAUCAUAGCGUUAAUGCAUCAUAUUCCAUUAGAACUUCACAGAUAAGCGCACUUGGACUAGAGUAGUACUCGGAUGGGUGAUCGCCCGAGAAUUCCUAGUGUUUUACAUGUC